AGGGUGGGGUUAACUAGAGGAAUGGGAUGGAGAAAUGAUUUACAAUAGGCAGGGUGGGGUUAACUAGAGUAAUGGGAUGGAGAAAUGGUUUACAAUAGGCAGGGUGGGGUUAACUAGAGUAAUGGGAUGGAGAAAUGGUUUACAAUAGGCAGGGUGGGGUUAACUAGAGUAAUGGGAUGGAGAAAUAGUUUACAAUAGGCAGGGUGGGGUUAACUAGAGGAAUGGGAUGGAGAAAUAGUUUUCAAUAGGCAGGGUGGGGUUUAACUAGAGGAAUGGGAUGGAGAAAUGUUUUACAAUAGGCAUGGUGGGGUUUACCAAGGGGAAUGAGUCCCAAAGGGCACCCUAUUUCCCAUUCCUGAACCGACGUGGGUGGACAGAGGUAGGGCGGAGAGGUAGGGAAGGGACUAGGGGGGUUGGGUGGAUGUGUUGUAUGGAGGCAGGGUGGUUGGGAAAUGGCAAAAUUUUUG
ensembl:lncRNA